UCUCCUGUCAUCCGGCUGCUGAGCGGGACGGUCUGCGGGCGUCUCUGCACAGAGCAGCAAUCGGGGUGGCGGUGCCCGGUGUCUGUGGCAGCGGCUGGGGGGGCCGGUGGCUGGGGCCAGUCUUGGCUGGGGCAGAGGUUUGACCCAUUGUUCCGAUUCCUACACCCCUGUCCGCGUCCGCGUGCAUUCGGUGCAGGGCGUGCCUGGCUCUGAGACUGUCUGCAGGCUUUGGAGGCCAGGGUGGCAGAACUGGAGGUGCUAAGGGAGGCAAAGAGGUGUCUCGGAUGAUGACCCAGCACGUUCAUUUUUAGAACACUUUCUCUACAGAUUUGACAAAACACAAAGAAGGUACCAAUGUGAGAUUUCUUAAGAUAGCUACAGCACUC